rnacentral:sRNA from 1 species
GUUUGAAAGCUUCGGUCGGUUCCAUCUGCUCGCGAAUGAUGAACCGUGCCCAGCUUUCCGAU